rnacentral:rRNA from 1 species
UACAACACAGUGUUAAUACACUGGAUCCCAUUAGAACUCCGCCGUUAAGCGCGCUCAUGCUAGAGUAGUACUGGUAUGGAUGACUACCUGGGAAAUCCUAGUGUUUUAC